rnacentral:sRNA from 1 species
ACAACGGCAAAAUCCGUUGUCGGGAUUCGAACCCCGCAUGACUCCAAGGCGUAAUAACGCCAGCUUUUGCUGGUUUUUU